rnacentral:rRNA from 1 species
GCACAAGCGGUGGAGCAUGUGGUUAAUUCGACGCAACGCGAAGAACCUUACCAGGGCUUGACAUCCCCUGACCGCGUAUGAAAGUACGUUUUCACCCUCGGGUGACAGGGAGACAGGUGGCGCAUGGUUGUCGUCAGCUCGUGUCGUGAGAUGUUGGGUUAAGUCCCGCAACGAGCGCAACCCCUACGUCUAGUUGCUAACGCGUGAAGGCGAGCACUCUAGACGAACUGCCGUUGACAAAACGGAGGAAGGUGGGAUGACGUCAAAUCAUCAUGCCCCUUAUGUUCUGGGCUACACACGUGCUACAAUGGCCGGUGCAGACGGACGCAAAGCCGCGAGGUGGAGCAAAUCCUAAAAAGCCGGUCUCAGUUCGGAUUGCAGGCUGCAAUUCGCCUGCAUGAAGUCGGAAUCGCUAGUAAUCGCAGGUCAGCAUACUGCGGUGAAUACGUUCCCGGGCCUU